AAAAUAUCCUGAGGUCAGGAGUUUGAGACCAGCCUGGCCAACAUGGUGAAACCCCAUCUCUAGUAAAAAUACAAAAAUUAGCUGGGUGUUGUGGCAUCUGCCUGUAAUCCCAGCUACUCGGGAGGCUGAGGCAAGAGAAUCACUUGAACCUAGAAGGUGGAGUUUGCAGUGAGCUGAGAUCGUGCCACUGCACUCCAGCCUGGGGGACAGAGUGAGACCCUAUCACAAAAACAUAAUAAUAGUAAUAAUAAAAGAAAAAAGCAAAAAUUCAAAGAACUAAACAGAAAUUGGGCAAAAGAGUUGAACCAGCCCUCCACAGAAGAGGAAAUGUGGAGAAAUGGCUACUAAAAACAUGAAGAGAGUCUCAGCCUAACAGGGAGAUAUCACCUGACACCCACCAGACUGGCAAAAAUCCCACAACCCAAUCAAUGCAAGUGUUGAGGAGAAUGGAAAGUAGCAGGAACACCAGGAACUGCUAAGAAUGGUUGUGAGAUAUAUUUUUGUUAUGCUUGUAUCUGAAAGGGUAUGUGUUGUGUGUUAUAAGGAAAUUACAUUUCUUACCUGGGAUGAAAUUUAAAAAUUGAAAGCUACUGACCAGAAGAAACUUGCACUUGUGUACAAAAGAAAUGCCCAAGAACAUUCCUAGCAAACCACAGUCCUAAGGGCCCCAACCUGGCCAAACACUCAUCCACAGGGAAAUGAAGACAUUUCCCAUGCUCCCCUCAUACGACAGGAGAUUACACAGAAAUGAAAAUGAAUCAUGUCAAUGUAGGUGGGUAUCAGGAAGAGAAUGGAGGACAAAAAUAGACACCAAGCCGAUGCUCAGAGCCAUACAGCAUAGGAGCAGCCACACAGGAGAAUUUCUUCACAUGAAAGUUCAAAACUACAGCCGGGGCAACAGAGCAAGACCCUGUCUCAAAAAGACAACAGAAAGUUCCAAAACUAAAUGGCAUAUUUUUUAGGGAUCUACACAGGGUGAAAGAAAUGUACUGUGAAGCAAAUAAAGACUAAAGCAGGAAGUGAUUCCCUCUGUAGGAGAAGAGAAGUGACUGGAACUCAGGCAGGGCCACCAGGGAGCAUCCAAAGUUAUAUCUCUUCAGAUUCUAUUCCCUAAACUUGAUGGAGGUCCUCUGUGUGCAAUGUGUCGAUAUUCUUUAUACCUUACCCAUAUUGUACAAAUGCUUUAUUUCUAUUCAAUAUUUAGAAGACAGUUACAAACAAGAUGCAUUAAAUAGCAAGACGGCAGAUGAACAUUAGGAAGGAACAUCAGGAACAUCCAUGAGGUUCCAUCCACAGAACUUCACCAGGGAUAUGCUUGUGAUCAAGGGCCUGGUCUCCCCUCAAGACACAGUCAGAGAUGAAAGGCUGCACCAUCACAGCAGUGGAGCAGGACCAGCUGGGACAGUGUCCUUCUGUGACACCUGCUGCAUCACCAGGCUGUGCGAACGAACUCAGCUGCCAGAACUCACAGAAUAUCAGCAUCAGCACCGAAACCUCACAGGAAAAAUACUGCAUGUUUAGCUCCAUGAACUUCAGACUUAAACAGCAUCACUGGCUCCUGACCAGGAUUCCAGCUCCACAAACUUCAAACUAGAACACCAGCCCGGCUUCUCCGCAGGUCUCCGGCUCCAAAACCUAAGACAUCAGUGGCAGUACAAACUCCUCCUGGGGGCUCCAGCUCUGGGACCCUCAGACUUGAACCACAGCACCCACUCUUCCCUGGAUCUCCAGCUCCACAACCCUCAGACUUAAACAACAAUAGCACCAGCUCAUCCAUGAAUCUCCAGCUCCACGACUCUCAAACUAGAACAGCACCAGCUCCUCCCCAGGUCUCCAGCUGCAAGACCCUCAAACUAGAACAACAUCAGCUCCUUCCCGGGUCUCCAGCUGCAUGACACUCAAACUAGAACGACAACAGCUUCUCCCCAGGUCUCCAGCUGCACGACACUCAAACUAGAAUAACACCGCUCACCCUUGGAUCUCCAGCUCCACAAACCUCACACUAGAACAGCAACACUGGUUCCUCCGUGGAUCUCCAGCUUUACAACCUAAGACAUGAGUAGCAGCACCAACUCCUUCCAGGGACUCAAGCUCCAGGACCCUCAGACUUGAACCGCAGCACCAGCUCUUCCCCAGAUCUCCAGCUCGAUGACCUUCCAACUUAAACAACAGAAGGAUCAGCUGACCUCCCUGGUUUUCCAGCUCCACAGCCCUCAACUAGAACACCAUCAGCAACUCCCUGGAUCUCCAGCUGCAUGACCCUCGCACUAGAACACCAACAUCGGCUCCUCCGCAGGUCUCCAGCUCCACAACCUAAGACAUCAGUGGCAGGAUUGGCUCCUUUCAUAGAUUCAGCUCCGGGACCCUCACAUUUGAACUGCAGGACUACCUCCUCCCUGGAUCUCCAGCUGCACGACCCUCAAACUAGAAAAACACCAGCUCCUCCCUGGGUCUCCAAGCUCCAUGACCCUCAAACUAGGACAACAUCAGCUCCUCCUUGGGUCUCCAUCUGCAUGACCCUCAAAUGAGAAAAACAGCAGCAAACUAUAAAAACCUUCCAAGCUUUUUCUAGUUUGAGGAUCAUACAGCUGUACACCCGAGAAGGAGCUGAUUUAAAUCUAGUUUGAGCAUCGUGGAGCUGGACAUCCAGGGAGGAGCUGGUGUUUUUCCAGUUUGAGGGUUGUGGAGCUGGACACCCAGGGAGAAGCUGAUAAUUUUCUAGUUUGAAGGUCUUGGAGCUGUACACCGAGGGAGAAGCCGGUGUUUUUCUAGUAUGAGGGUCGUGGAGCUGGACACCCAAAGGAGAGCAGUGUCGUUCUAGUUUGAGGAUGUUUGAGGGUCAGCUGCAUGACUCUCAAACUCAAAAAACACCAGCUUCUCCCUGGGUCUCCAGCUCCAUGACCGUCAGACUAGAACAACAUCAGCUUCUCCCCUUGUCUCCAGCUUUACAAUGUUCAAACUAGAACAUCAGCUCCUCCCCGGAUCUCCAGCUUCAUGACCCUCAGACUUAAACAACAGCAGCACCAGCUCCUCCCCAUUUCUCCAGCUGCACGACCCUCUGAUCAGAAAAACAUUGGCUCCUCCCCAUGUCUCCAGCUGCAUGAUCCUCAAACUAGAACAUCAGCUCCUCCCCAGGUCUCCAGCUGCACAACCCUUAAACUAGAAGAUGAGCUCCUACCCGGGUCUCCAGCUCCAUGACCCUCAAACUAGAACAACAUCAGCUUCUCCCUGAGUCUCCAGCUAAAGACCCUCAAACAAGAACAACAUCAGCUCCUCCCUGAGUCUUCAGCGGCACAACCCUCAAACUAGAACAUCAGAUCUUCUCAGUGUCUCUAGCUGCAGGACACUUAUAAUAGAAAAACGCCAGCGCCUCCCAGGUUCUAAAGCUGCACGGCCCUCAAACAAAAACACCAGCUCCUCUCUGGGUCUCAAGCUGCACGAAACUCAAAUUAGAACAACACCAGCUCCUCUCUGGGUUUCCAGCUCCAUGACCCUCAAAGGAGAACAACAACAACAGCUCCUCCUCGAGUCAUCAGCCGCACGUCCUUGAAACUAGAACAUCAGCUCCUCUCCAGGUCUCCAGCUGCAUAACACUCAUACUAGAAAAACGCCAGCUCCUCCUGGGUUCUACAGCUGCACAACCCUCAAACUAAAGAAACACCAGGUCCUCUCUGGGUCUCCAAGUGCACGAACCUCAAAGUAGAACAAUACCAGCUCCUCUCUGGGUCUCCAGCUCCAUGACCCUCAAACUGGAAUAACAUCAGCUCCUCUCUGGGUCUCCAGCUGAAAGACCCUCAAACAAGAACAACAUUAGCUCCUCCCUGAGUCUUCAGUUGCAUGACCCUCAAACUAGAACAUCAGCUCCUCUCUGGGUCUCCAGCUGCAGCACACUCAUACUAGAAAAACGCCAGCUCCUCCGGGUUCUACAGCUGCAUGACCCUCAAACUAAAGAAACACCAGCUCCUCUCUGGGUCUCCAGUUGCACAACCCUCAAACUAGAACAUCAGCUCCUCCCCUAGUCCUCAGCUGCACGACCCUCAGUCUAGACCAUCACCUCCUCUCCGGGUCUCUAGCUGCAUGACACUCAUAAUAGAAAAACACCAGCUCCUCUCGGUUCUACAGCUGCAUGAUCCUCAAACUAAAAAACACCCACUCCUCCCCAGGUCUCCAGCUGCACGGCCCUCAAAGUAGAACAAUACCAGCUCUUCUCUGGGUCUCCAGCUCCAUGACUUUCAAACUAGAACAAUAUCAGCUCCUCUCCAGAUCUCCAGCUGAAAGACCCUCAAAUGAGAACAACAUCAGCUCCUCCCCGAGUCUUCAGUUGCACGACCCUCAAACUAGAGCAUCAGCUCCUCUCCGGGUCUCCAGCUGCAGGACACUCAUACUAGAAAAAUGCCAGCUCCUUCCGGGUUCUACAGUUGCAUGACCCUCAAACUAAAGAAACACCAGCUCCUCUCUGGGUCUCCAGCUGCAUGAACUUCAAACUACAACAUCAGCUCCUGCCAGAGUCUUCAGCUGCACAACCCUCAAACUAGAACAUCAGCUCCUCUCUGGGUCUCCAGCUGCAAGACAUUCAUACUAGAAAAACACCAGCUCCUUCCAGGUUCUACAGCUGCAUGAUCCUCAAACUAAGGAAACACCAGCUCCUGUCUGGGUCUCCAGCUGCAUGAACCUCAAACUAGAACAACAUCAGCUGCCCUCUGGGUCUCCAGCUGAAAGACCCUCAAACGAGAACAACAUCAGCUCCUCCCCGAGUCUUCAGCUGCACGGGUCUCAAACUAGAACAUCAGCUCCUCUCCAGGUCUCCAGCUGCAGGAUACUCAUACGAGAAAAACGCCAGCUUCUCCCAGGUUCUAAAGCUGCAUGACCCUCGAACUAAAGAAACACCAGCUCCUCUCUGGGUCUAUAGCUGCACAACCCUGAAACUAGAACAACAUCAACUCCUCCCAGGUUCUACAGCUGCAUGACCCUCAAACUAAGGAAACACCAGCUCCCCUCUGGGUCUCCAGCUGCACGAACCUCAAACUGGAACAUCAGCUCUUCUCUGGGUCUCCAGCUGCAGGACACUCAUACUAGAAAAAUGCUAGCUCCACUUGGUUCUACAGCUGCAUGACUCUCGAACUAAAAAACACCCGCUCCUCCCCAGGUCUCCAGCUAUAUGAACCUCAAACUAGAACAACACCAGCUCCUCUCUGGGUCUCCAGCUAAAUGACCCUCAAUCUAGAACAUCAGCUCCUCCCCAAGUCUUCAGCUGCACGACCCUCAAUCUAGAAAAUCAGCUCCUCCUCAGGUCUCCAGCUGCAAGUCCCUCAAACUAGAAAAACACCAGCUCCUUCCGGGUUCUACAGCUGCAUGACCCUCAAACUAAAGAAACACCCACUCCUCCCAGAGUCUGCAGCUGCACAAACUUCAAACUAAGAAACACUAGCUCCUCCCCAGGUCUCCAGCUCCAUGACCCUCCAAUUAAAACAACCCCAGCUCCUCCAGGGUCUCCAGCAGAAAGAUCCUCAAACUAGAACACCUCCCUCGCCUGGAUCUCCAGCUCCACGACCCUCACAGAAGAACAGCAACACCGGCUCCUUCAUUGGUCUUCAGCUCCACAACCUAAGACAUCAGUGGCAGCACCAGCAGCACCAGCUCCUCCAUGGACCUCCAGCUCAACGACUCUCAUAGACUUAAAAGGCAGCGCCCGCUCCUCGCCAACGUUCCAUUUCCACCACCCUCAGAUUUCAACAGCGGUAGCACCAGCUCCUGCCCGGGUCUUCAGCCCCACGACCCUCUGAACAAUCCCUUCUUAUGAAAUUCUCAGUCAAGAAAACAGCAGCGGAAGUAAAUGAAUAAAUGUUUUGUUUUCAAAUCAACGUUAUCUUUUAUGUUCAUGCAACUCAGUUAACUUUCCUGCUUUCCAUUAACCUUGUAAUCUUAUGUUCAACGUGAG
rnacentral:lncRNA from 1 species